GCUAGUAAUCGCGGAUCAGCAUGCCGCGGUGAAUACGUUCCCGGGCCUUGUACACACCGCCCGUCACACCAUGGGAGCCGGUAAUACCCGAAGUCAGUAGUCCAACCUCGUGAGGACGCUGCCGAAGGUAGGAUUGGCGACUGGGGUGAAGUCGUAACAAGGUAUC
rnacentral:rRNA from 1 species